rnacentral:tRNA from 1 species
AGGGAUAUAACUCAGUGGUAGUGUGUCACCUUCACAUGGACGAAGUCAUCAGUUCGAGCAUGAUUAUCCCUA